rnacentral:rRNA from 1 species
GGUUAAGCGACUAAGCGUACACGGUGGAUGCCCUGGCAGUCAGAGGCGAUGAAGGACGUGCUAAUCUGCGAUAAGCGUCGGUAAGGUGAUAUGAACCGUUAUAACCGGCGAUUUCCGAAUGGGGAAACCCAGUGUGAUUCGUCACACUAUCAUUAACUGAAUCCAUAGGUUAAUGAGGCGAACCGGGGGAACUGAAACAUCUAAGUACCCCGAGGAAAAGAAAUCAACCGAGAUUCCCCCAGUAGCGGCGAGCGAACGGGGAGGAGCCCAGAGCCUGAAUCAGUGUGUGUGUUAGUGGAAGCGUCUGGAAAGGCGCGCGAUACAGGGUGACAGCCCCGUACACAAAAAUGCACAUGCUGUGAGCUCGAUGAGUAGGGCGGGACACGUGGUAUCCUGUCUGAAUAUGGGGGGACCAUCCUCCAAGGCUAAAUACUCCUGACUGACCGAUAGUGAACCAGUACCGUGAGGGAAAGGCGAAAAGAACCCCGGCGAGGGGAGUGAAAAAGAACCUGAAACCGUGUACGUACAAGCAGUGGGAGCACGCUUAGGCGUGUGACUGCGUACCUUUUGUAUAAUGGGUCAGCGACUUAUAUUCUGUAGCAAGGUUAACCGAAUAGGGGAGCCGAAGGGAAACCGAGUCUUAACUGGGCGUUAAGUUGCAGGGUAUAGACCCGAAACCCGGUGAUCUAGCCAUGGGCAGGUUGAAGGUUGGGUAACACUAACUGGAGGACCGAACCGACUAAUGUUGAAAAAUUAGCGGAUGACUUGUGGCUGGGGGUGAAAGGCCAAUCAAACCGGGAGAUAGCUGGUUCUCCCCGAAAGCUAUUUAGGUAGCGCCUCGUGAAUUCAUCUCCGGGGGUAGAGCACUGUUUCGGCAAGGGGGUCAUCCCGACUUACCAACCCGAUGCAAACUGCGAAUACCGGAGAAUGUUAUCACGGGAGACACACGGCGGGUGCUAACGUCCGUCGUGAAGAGGGAAACAACCCAGACCGCCAGCUAAGGUCCCAAAGUCAUGGUUAAGUGGGAAACGAUGUGGGAAGGCCCAGACAGCCAGGAUGUUGGCUUAGAAGCAGCCAUCAUUUAAAGAAAGCGUAAUAGCUCACUGGUCGAGUCGGCCUGCGCGGAAGAUGUAACGGGGCUAAACCAUGCACCGAAGCUGCGGCAGCGACGCUUAUGCGUUGUUGGGUAGGGGAGCGUUCUGUAAGCCUGUGAAGGUGUGCUGUGAGGCAUGCUGGAGGUAUCAGAAGUGCGAAUGCUGACAUAAGUAACGAUAAAGCGGGUGAAAAGCCCGCUCGCCGGAAGACCAAGGGUUCCUGUCCAACGUUAAUCGGGGCAGGGUGAGUCGACCCCUAAGGCGAGGCCGAAAGGCGUAGUCGAUGGGAAACAGGUUAAUAUUCCUGUACUUGGUGUUACUGCGAAGGGGGGACGGAGAAGGCUAUGUUGGCCGGGCGACGGUUGUCCCGGUUUAAGCGUGUAGGCUGGUUUUCCAGGCAAAUCCGGAAAAUCAAGGCUGAGGCGUGAUGACGAGGCACUACGGUGCUGAAGCAACAAAUGCCCUGCUUCCAGGAAAAGCCUCUAAGCAUCAGGUAACAUCAAAUCGUACCCCAAACCGACACAGGUGGUCAGGUAGAGAAUACCAAGGCGCUUGAGAGAACUCGGGUGAAGGAACUAGGCAAAAUGGUGCCGUAACUUCGGGAGAAGGCACGCUGAUAUGUAGGUGAAGCGACUUGCUCGUGGAGCUGAAAUCAGUCGAAGAUACCAGCUGGCUGCAACUGUUUAUUAAAAACACAGCACUGUGCAAACACGAAAGUGGACGUAUACGGUGUGACGCCUGCCCGGUGCCGGAAGGUUAAUUGAUGGGGUCAGCGCAAGCGAAGCUCUUGAUCGAAGCCCCGGUAAACGGCGGCCGUAACUAUAACGGUCCUAAGGUAGCGAAAUUCCUUGUCGGGUAAGUUCCGACCUGCACGAAUGGCGUAAUGAUGGCCAGGCUGUCUCCACCCGAGACUCAGUGAAAUUGAACUCGCUGUGAAGAUGCAGUGUACCCGCGGCAAGACGGAAAGACCCCGUGAACCUUUACUAUAGCUUGACACUGAACAUUGAGCCUUGAUGUGUAGGAUAGGUGGGAGGCUUUGAAGUGUGGACGCCAGUCUGCAUGGAGCCGGCCUUGAAAUACCACCCUUUAAUGUUUGAUGUUCUAACGUUGACCCGUAAUCCGGGUUGCGGACAGUGUCUGGUGGGUAGUUUGACUGGGGCGGUCUCCUCCUAAAGAGUAACGGAGGAGCACGAAGGUUGGCUAAUCCUGGUCGGACAUCAGGAGGUUAGUGCAAUGGCAUAAGCCAGCUUGACUGCGAGCGUGACGGCGCGAGCAGGUGCGAAAGCAGGUCAUAGUGAUCCGGUGGUUCUGAAUGGAAGGGCCAUCGCUCAACGGAUAAAAGGUACUCCGGGGAUAACAGGCUGAUACCGCCCAAGAGUUCAUAUCGACGGCGGUGUUUGGCACCUCGAUGUCGGCUCAUCACAUCCUGGGGCUGAAGUAGGUCCCAAGGGUAUGGCUGUUCGCCAUUUAAAGUGGUACGCGAGCUGGGUUUAGAACGUCGUGAGACAGUUCGGUCCCUAUCUGCCGUGGGCGCUGGAGAACUGAGGGGGGCUGCUCCUAGUACGAGAGGACCGGAGUGGACGCAUCACUGGUGUUCGGGUUGUCAUGCCAAUGGCACUGCCCGGUAGCUAAAUGCGGAAGAGAUAAGUGCUGAAAGCAUCUAAGCACGAAACUUGCCCCGAGAUGAGUUCUCCCUGACUCCUUGAGAGUCCUGAAGGAACGUUGAAGACGACGACGUUGAUAGGCCGGGUGUGUAAGCGCAGCGAUGCGUUGAGCUAACCGGUACUAAUGAACCGUGAGGCUUAACCUU